AUUGAACGCUGGCGGCAUGCCUUACACAUGCAAGUCGAACGGUAACGCGGGGGCGAACCCUGGCGACGAGUGGCGAACGGGUGAGUAAUACAUCGGAACGUACCCAGUAGUGGGGAGUAGCUCGGCGAAAGCCGGAUUAAUACCGCAUACGACCUAUGGGUGAAAGCGGGGAGUCGCAAGACCUCGCGCUAUUGGAGCGGCCGAUGUCGGAUUAGCUAGUUGGUGAGGUAAAGGCUCACCAAGGCUACGAUCCGUAGCUGGUCUGAGAGGACGACCAGCCACACUGGGACUGAGACACGGCCCAGACUCCUACGGGAGGCAGCAGUGGGGAAUUUUGGACAAUGGGCGAAAGCCUGAUCCAGCCAUGCCGCGUGUGUGAAGAAGG
rnacentral:rRNA from 1 species